AAAUUGAAGAGUUUGAUCAUGGCUCAGAUUGAACGCUGGCGGCAGGCCUAACACAUGCAAGUCGAACGGUAACAGGAAGCAGCUUGCUGCUUCGCUGACGAGUGGCGGACGGGUGAGUAAUGUCUGGGAAACUGCCUGAUGGAGGGGGAUAACUACUGGAAACGGUGGCUAAUACCGCAUAACGUCGCAAGACCAAAGAGGGGGACCUUCGGGCCUCUUGCCAUCAGAUGUGCCCAGAUGGGAUUAGCUUGUUGGUGAGGUAACGGCUCACCAAGGCGACGAUCCCUAGCUGGUCUGAGAGGAUGACCAGCCACACUGGAACUGAGACACGGUCCAGACUCCUACGGGAGGCAGCAGUGGGGAAUAUUGCACAAUGGGCGCAAGCCUGAUGCAGCCAUGCCGCGUGUAUGAAGAAGGCCUUCGGGUUGUAAAGUACUUUCAGCGGGGAGGAAGGUGUUGUGGUUAAUAACCGCAGCAAUUGACGUUACCCGCAGAAGAAGCACCGGCUAACUCCGUGCCAGCAGCCGCGGUAAUACGGAGGGUGCAAGCGUUAAUCGGAAUUACUGGGCGUAAAGCGCACGCAGGCGGUCUGUCAAGUCGGAUGUGAAAUCCCCGGGCUCAACCUGGGAACUGCAUUCGAAACUGGCAGGCUUGAGUCUUGUAGAGGGGGGUAGAAUUCCAGGUGUAGCGGUGAAAUGCGUAGAGAUCUGGAGGAAUACCGGUGGCGAAGGCGGCCCCCUGGACAAAGACUGACGCUCAGGUGCGAAAACGUGGGGAGCAAACAGGAUUAGAUACCCUGGUAGUCCACGCCGUAAACGAUGUCUACUUGGAGGUUGUGCCCUUGAGGCGUGGCUUCCGGAGCUAACGCGUUAAGUAGACCGCCUGGGGAGUACGGCCGCAAGGUUAAAACUCAAAUGAAUUGACGGGGGCCCGCACAAGCGGUGGAGCAUGUGGUUUAAUUCGAUGCAACGCGAAGAACCUUACCUGGUCUUGACAUCCACAGAAGAAUCCAGAGAUGGAUUUGUGCCUUCGGGAACUGUGAGACAGGUGCUGCAUGGCUGUCGUCAGCUCGUGUUGUGAAAUGUUGGGUUAAGUCCCGCAACGAGCGCAACCCUUAUCCUUUGUUGCCAGCGAUUAGGUCGGGAACUCAAAGGAGACUGCCAGUGAUAAACUGGAGGAAGGUGGGGAUGACGUCAAGUCAUCAUGGCCCUUACGACCAGGGCUACACACGUGCUACAAUGGCGCAUACAAAGAGAAGCGACCUCGCGAGAGCAAGCGGACCUCAUAAAGUGCGUCGUAGUCCGGAUUGGAGUCUGCAACUCGACUCCAUGAAGUCGGAAUCGCUAGUAAUCGUGGAUCAGAAUGCCACGGUGAAUACGUUCCCGGGCCUUGUACACACCGCCCGUCACACCAUGGGAGUGGGUUGCAAAAGAAGUAGGUAGCUUAACCUUCGGGAGGGCGCUUACCACUUUGUGAUUCAUGACUGGGGUGAAGUCGUAACAAGGUAACCGUAGGGGAACCUGCGGUUGGAUCACCUCCUUACCUUAAAGAA
rnacentral:rRNA from 1 species